ACAACAAUUGUGUCACCCAGUCCGUUUUGCAAGGAAGAAUUGUUUCACUGAUUCUCGUUUUUCUAUUCGAAAUGCCUCGUGUUUACGUUCUAAAAUCAAAUACAGUUCGGCGCACAGCGGUCAAUCCAGAUCAUCUGAAGGAAGCUGUUGGAAGCGUAAUUGCUGGUAAUACCAUAAAAGCUGCUGCGCGGCAAUAUGAAUUAAACGUAAUGACACUCAAGCGAUAUUACCGUCGCCAAACUGAGCUGGGGGAAUCGAUUUCAUACCAGCCAGAUUUCGGAGGAGCGACGAGAGUAUUUACCAGGGCGGAAGAAACUUCUAUGGUUGAUUACAUAAAGAAAGCCUGUGAUCUUCACUAUGGAUUGAGCCCAAAAUGUGUUCGUGACUUGGCGUACCAGUUUGCCAAGAAAAAUAACAAAAAGCACCCUUCAAGUUGGCAGAAAAAUGAAAGCGCUAGUUACGACUGGCUGUAUGCUUUUCUACGACGGAACCCAACCCUUUCAAUUCGUGCUCCGGAGUCAACAAGCCUAAGUCGAGCGACUAGUUUCAACAUAACUUCACGAUGCUCAUGAACAACCUUGAGAUUUUGCUGCAACGUUAUUCGUUCGGUCCAGAGGCAAUUUGGAACAUCGAUGAGACCGGUCUAACGACGGUUCAGAAGCCCAGGAAAGUGUUGGCAACAAAAGGUACAAAGCAAGUCGGUAAGAUUACUUCGGCAGAAAGAGGAGAGCUGGUAACGGCAUGCUGCUGUGUCAGCGCCAUCGGGAAUCAUAUUCCACCUUUCAUGAUAUUCCCACGCAACAACUGGGAGGAUCGAAUGAUCU